rnacentral:rRNA from 1 species
UAGCGUAGGGUGCAAGCGUUGUCCGGAAUUAUUGGGCGUAAAGAGCUCGUAGGCGGUUUGUCGCGUCUGCUGUGAAAACUCGGGGCUUAACUCCGGGCCUGCAGUGGGUACGGGCAGACUAGAGUGCGGUAGGGGAGACUGGAAUUCCUGGUGUAGCGGUGAAAUGCGCAGAUAUCAGGAGGAACACCGAUGGCGAAGGCAGGUCUCUGGGCAUUAACUGACGCUGAGGAGCGAAAGCAUGGGGAGCGAACAGG